ensembl:lncRNA LINC02173 long intergenic non-protein coding RNA 2173
AGCUGAACCACAUUUGUGGUGAUGAAAGGUUUGGUCAGAAAAGGAGGCUGGGGUAAAACAGCAUCUAUUCUGUCAUUUGAAGAAUGGGAAGGAUUUUGCUAGAACAAGAGAGGGUGGGAAAAUAAGAAAGGAAAAUAGAACAUUUUAGGGAAAGGGAAUAGUGUGUGCAAAGAUGAAGAAGUAUAAAAGAAAAUGUAGCUUAUUCCAGAAACUGCUAAAAGGAUCAAUAUGGUGAGAAUAUCACAGUAGGUAAAUAUUAGAUUCCAAAAGUAUAUGAAAAAACAGCUGAGGAAUGUGAAACAUAGAGAAAAUUCUAUUUGUUAGCAGUUCUCCCCCUACUCCUGUGACCUGAAAAAAAUUCAAUACUUUCUGAAGCAUUUGGAUCCACUUAGCUAGUGGAAUACCAGCAUUUCAUGGGAAUAUAUGUAACUAGAACAACUAGUUAGGAGCCAACAUGGCCAUAUCUGGUUUUGGAACAAAGUUUAACAUGGAAUUACGCCUAUGACUACACCAGAGUUUGGACUGAAGGUGUUACAAGAGUUGCACUGUCGUGUCAUGAGAGAGCCACAAUUCUUCAAACAUAUUUAACUGCUGGAGAGAAUGGCUCAGAAUCCCAGGUAUCAGCUUCAGCACACAGAUAAAAUAUAAGAAAGAAUUUGAGGUUGAUGUCAGAAGCAUUUCCAACAGGGCUAAGGAAGUAUUUUUUUGGAAGAUCUCUUCUUGGCCCUUGACAGAAGAAGCAGAGUAACUUUUCUUAGGUGGCAUAAUUCUUCAAAAUGUGUUCAUUUUGAAGAACAGGGGUGAUGGAUGGUAAUACACAGGCAGGGAUCAACAGUCCCAGAACUGAAGGAAGAGUUGACAAAUGUAUCAAAGAUGCCUAAUCAAAAUGUGUCCACAUUCUGCUAAAUAAAUUCUGGUUGAGCAGAACUAACAAAA